rnacentral:rRNA from 1 species
AUGAACGCUGGCGGCGUGCCUAAUACAUGCCAGUCGCGCGAACUUUUGGGAGCUUGCUCCCCAAAGUUAGCGGCGGACGGGUGAGUAACACGUGGGUAACCUGCCUGUAAGACUGGGAUAACUUCGGGAAACCGGAGCUAAUACCGGAUAACAUUUAAGACCACAUGGCCUUCGAUUAAAAGGUGGCUUUUAGCUACCACUUACAGAUGGACCCGCGGCGCAUUAGCUAGUUGGUGAGGUAACGGCUCACCAAGGCGACGAUGCGUAGCCGACCUGAGAGGGUGAUCGGCCACACUGGGACUGAGACACGGCCCAGACUCCUACGGGAGGCAGCAGUAGGGAAUCUUCCGAAAUGGACGAAAGUCUGACGGAGCAACGCCGCGUGAGCGAAGAAGGCCGUCGGGUCGUAAAGCUCGGUUGUUAGGGAAGAACAAGUAUCGUUCGAAUAGGGCGGUACCUUGACGGUACCUAACCAGAAAGCCACGGCUAACUACGUG